rnacentral:snoRNA from 1 species
UCUAUUUGACGUGAUGAUUGCUAAAAGCAUAGUUCAUGUGAAAAUGGCCUUACUAUCCAUUACUGUUGCCCAAUAUCUUUCGCUCCUAUCUGACAUUCUG